rnacentral:rRNA from 1 species
UACGGAGGGUGCGAGCGUUGUCCGGAAUCACUGGGCGUAAAGGGCGCGUAGGCGGCGCGGGUAGUCAUCGGUGAAAGUUCAGGGCUCAACUCUGAAUCGGCCGGUGAUACUCCCGUGCUCGAGCACUGUAGAGGCAGGUGGAAUUCCGGGUGUAGCGGUGGAAUGCGUAGGAGAUCCGGAAGAACACCGGUGGCGAAGGCGGUCGUGCUGGGCGAGUAGCUGGCACUGAGGCGCGGACAGCGUGGGGAGCAAACAGG